rnacentral:rRNA from 1 species
UACGGAGGGUGCGAGCGUUGUUCGGAAUCACUGGGCGUAAAGGGCGUGUAGGCGGUCCGUUAAGUCUGAUGUGAAAGCCCGGGGCUCACCCCCGGAAGGGCAUUGGAAACUGGCGGACUCGAGUCCCGGAGAGGAGGGUGGAAUUCCUGGUGUAGCGGUGAAAUGCGUAGAUAUCAGGAGGAACACCUGCGGCGAAGGCGGCCCUCUGGACGGUGACUGACGCUAAGACGCGAAAGCGUGGGGAGCAAACAGG